CCUACGGGUGGCAGCAGUGAGGAAUAUUGGUCAAUGGUCGGGAGACUGAACCAGCCAAGCCGCGUGAGGGAUGAAGGUACAGAGUAUCGUAAACCUCUUUUGCCAGGGAACAAAGGCGGGGACGCGUCCCCGGAUGAGUGUACCUGAAGAAAAAGCAUCGGCUAACUCCGUGCCGGCAGCCGCGGUAAUCCGGAGGAUGUGAGCGUUAUCCGGAUUUAUUGGGGUUUAAGGGUGGGCUGGCGGUCUGUUAGGUCAGCGGUCAAAGCCCGGGGCUCAACCCCGGUCCGCCGUUGAAGCUGGCAGUCUCGAGUGGGAGAGAGGUAUGCGGAAUGCGCGGUGUAGCGGUGAAAUGCAUAGAUAUCGCGCAGAACACCGGUUGCGAAGGCAGCAUGCCGGCUCCACACUGACGUUGAGGCACGAAAGCGUGGGUAUCGAACAGGAUUAGAUACCCUUGUAGUC
rnacentral:rRNA from 1 species